CACUCAGGUGUUGUUGGGUAGGGGAGCGUUCUGUAAGCCUGUGAAGGUGGCCUGUGAGGGUUGCUGGAGGUAUCAGAAGUGCGAAUGCUGACAUAAGUAACGAUAAAGCGGGUGAAAAGCCCGCUCGCCGGAAGACCAAGGGUUCCUGUCCAACGUUAAUCGGGGCAGGGUGAGUCGACCCCUAAGGCGAGGCCGAAAGGCGUAGUCGAUGGGAAACGGGUUAAUAUUCCCGUACUUGGUGUUACUGCGAAGGGGGGACGGAGAAGGCUAUGUUGGCCGGGCGACGGUUGUCCCGGUUUAAGCGUGUAGGUGUGUGUUCCAGGUAAAUCCGGUUCACUUUAACACUGAGGCGUGACGACGAGGCACUACGGUGCUGAAGCAACAAAUGCCCUGCUUCCAGGAAAAGCCUCUAAGCAUCAGGUAACAUCAAAUCGUACCCCAAACCGACACAGGUGGUCAGGUAGAGAAUACCAAGGCGCUUGAGAGAACUCGGGUGAAGGAACUAGGCAAAAUGGUGCCGUAACUUCGGGAGAAGGCACGCUGACAUGUAGGUGAAGUGAUUUACUCAUGGAGCUGAAGUCAGUCGAAGAUACCAGCUGGCUGCAACUGUUUAUUAAAAACACAGCACUGUGCAAACACGAAAGUGGACGUAUACGGUGUGACGCCUGCCCGGUGCCGGAAGGUUAAUUGAUGGGGUCAGCGCAAGCGAAGCUCCUGAUCGAAGCCCCGGUAAACGGCGGCCGUAACUAUAACGGUCCUAAGGUAGCGAAAUUCCUUGUCGGGUAAGUUCCGACCUGCACGAAUGGCGUAAUGAUGGCCAGGCUGUCUCCACCCGAGACUCAGUGAAAUUGAACUCGCUGUGAAGAUGCAGUGUACCCGCGGCAAGACGGAAAGACCCCGUGAACCUUUACUAUAGCUUGACACUGAACAUUGAGCCUUGAUGUGUAGGAUAGGUGGGAGGCUUUGAAGUGUGGACGCCAGUCUGCAUGGAGCCGACCUUGAAAUACCACCCUUUAAUGUUUGAUGUUCUAACGUGGACCCGUGAUCCGGGUUGCGGACAGUGUCUGGUGGGUAGUUUGACUGGGGCGGUCUCCUCCUAAAGAGUAACGGAGGAGCACGAAGGUUGGCUAAUCCUGGUCGGACAUCAGGAGGUUAGUGCAAUGGCAUAAGCCAGCUUGACUGCGAGCGUGACGGCGCGAGCAGGUGCGAAAGCAGGUCAUAGUGAUCCGGUGGUUCUGAAUGGAAGGGCCAUCGCUCAACGGAUAAAAGGUACUCCGGGGAUAACAGGCUGAUACCGCCCAAGAGUUCAUAUCGACGGCGGUGUUUGGCACCUCGAUGUCGGCUCAUCACAUCCUGGGGCUGAAGUAGGUCCCAAGGGUAUGGCUGUUCGCCAUUUAAAGUGGUACGCGAGCUGGGUUUAGAACGUCGUGAGACAGUUCGGUCCCUAUCUGCCGUGGGCGCUGGAGAACUGAGGGGGGCUGCUCCUAGUACGAGAGGACCGGAGUGGACGCAUCACUGGUGUUCGGGUUGUCAUGCCAAUGGCACUGCCCGGUAGCUAAAUGCGGAAGAGAUAAGUGCUGAAAGCAUCUAAGCACGAAACUUGCCCCGA
rnacentral:rRNA from 1 species